UACGUAGGGUGCGAGCGUUGUCCGGAAUUAUUGGGCGUAAAGAGCUCGUAGGCGGCUUGUCGCGUCGGAUGUGAAAGCCCGGGGCUUAACUCCGGGUCUGCAUUCGAUACGGGCAGGCUAGAGUUCGGUAGGGGAGAUCGGAAUUCCUGGUGUGGCGGUGAAAUGCGCAGAUAUCAGGAGGAACACCGGUGGCGAAGGCGGAUCUCUGGGCCGAUACUGACGCUGAGGAGCGAAAGCGUGGGGAGCGAACAGG
rnacentral:rRNA from 1 species